GGAGAGGUGGCCGAGUGGUCGAAGGCGCUCCCCUGCUAAGGGAGUGUGCGCCAAAAGCGUACCGUGGGUUCGAAUCCCAUCCUCUCCG
rnacentral:tRNA from 2 species